UUGAAAUAAUAUUUAUUUAUUAUAAAAAAAUAUUAAAAACUAUUAUUUAAUAUAAAUAAUUAUUAUUUAAUUGUUUAAAGGGUGGGACCCUCACGUUUCUGGGUGGCCAAGCUCCUCCGUUCGGACGUUGAGUUAAAAACGAAAACUGCCAGAGAAGAACAAGCGCAAGAAAAGCACACUAUCUCAGACGCAACGCCCUCACCCACCACCCGUUCUUCACCUAGAGACCACAGGCCCUUAUCGCCACCGCUAGAUUCCUCAUCACCCUCUUCACUUUCCUUCAAUCGAUCCUUUCACAGCAAUGAACUCAAACACCCCACCGCACUCCUUGAAACCCCACCGCCAGACGCGACGAACCGGGCGUUCCUGACAGACCCAGUGGUGGUGGCCAAGAUUGCCUCACGCUGUCACGCAUGGGUCUCGGUCAUCAAAGCAGCAAAAUUCAGUCCUGAAUUCGGGCGUGAAUUCGGAGCAUUUUCGGGUUAGCCUUGAGCUCCUCUGUCUAUAAUAUUUGGAGGAAUAUAAAUGAGCUAAGGCAUGGAUCAGCUUCCAAAUCUGAAGAGCAGCACUUGAAAAAGAGUUUUUGAGAAGUCAGAUCCAGAAUUUUGGGUGAGUCUUGAUCGACUUGUUUCAGUUGGCUUUUGUUGUCAUGGGUGGUAUUGGUUCCUCCUUUGGAGACUGGUUUAUAGUCUCUGGAGGUUGGUUUUGUGUUUCAGUUGUUUCGCUCAUGGAGUAUAUUCGUUAUA